rnacentral:misc_RNA from 1 species
UCCGGUUUGUCACCGGCAGUCCCAUUAGAGUGCUCAACUGAAUGUAGCAACUAAUGGCAAGGGUUGCGCUCGUUGCGGGACUUAACCCAACAUCUCACGACACGAGUUGACGACAGCCAUGCAGCACCUGUGUCUAGGUUCCCUUUCGGGCACUCCUCCAUCUCUGGAGGAUUCCUAGCAUGUCAAACCUAGGUAAGGUUCUUCGCGUUGCAUCGAAUUAAUCCGCAUGCUCCGCCGCUUGUGCGGGCCCCCGUCAAUUCCUUUGAGUUUUAGCCUUGCGGCCGUACUCCCCAGGCGGGGCGCUUAAUGCGUUAGCUGCGGCACGGAACUCGUGGAAUGAGUCCCACACCUAGCGCCCAACGUUUACGGCGUGGACUAC